rnacentral:rRNA from 1 species
UGUGCCAGUUGUUCUGCCAAGGGCAUGGCUGGUUGGCUACGUUCGGGAGGGAUAACCGCUGAAAGCAUCUAAGCGGGAAGCCUGCUUCGAGAUGAGGACUCCCACCCACUUGAUGGGGUAAGGCUCCCAGUAGACGACUGGGUUGAUAGGCCGGAUCUGGAAGCCAGGUAACUGGUGGAGGUGACCGGUACUAAUAGGCCGAGGGCUUGUCCUC